rnacentral:piRNA from 1 species
UGAUGAAAGGUGCAUGUCUUCCCACUGGGGCU